GGGGCAGAUCGGAUUUGACAGCGGGCAGAAGAGGUAUGUAAGCACGCCGAGCGAUGUUGUCAGGCUCGUUAAUAACGGACUUCAAAUCAUAACUGGCGAAAAUCAAUUUGCUCUCGCUGCGUAGUCGAAGUAUAGUACACUACCUUAAUUGCUCCAAAGUGGAGCAACGAGACAUCACACAAAAGCCCAUUUCCUGAGGCUCAUUGAGAUUGUGGUGCGGUCAAAUCGGGGAUAGUUGCAGGGGAGUUUCGACCUUGUGAUGAAAUUUUAGAAACUAAGGUGUAAAUGGGUGGCUCUGGUCUUGUUUGCACUCGAAAACCAAAGGCAGAGAUAAAUGUGUAGAAAGCAUAUUGCUUCCUCGUUUGGACGGGGGUUCAAAUCCCCCCUGCUCCACAA
rnacentral:tmRNA from 1 species